AGUGAACGCUGGCGGCGUGCCUAAUACCUGCAAGUCGAACGAAGUGGCGCGCGGGUGAGUAAUAUAUAGUUAAUCUGCACUACACAGAGGAACAACAGUUGGAAACGGCAGCUAAUACCUCAUAGUGUAGGAUGAGACUAUAUCUUAUCAGCUAGUUGGUAAGGUAAUGGCUUACCAAGGCUAUGACGCGUAACUGGUCUGAGAGGAUGAUCAGUCACCUUGGAACGGAGACACGGUCCAAACUCCUACGGUAGGCAGCAGUAAGGAAUAUUGCGCAAUGGUGUCAACCCUGACGCAGCAACGCCGCGUGGAGGAUGACACUUUACGGAGCGUAAACUCCUUUUAUCAUGAAAGCGGUACCUGAUGAAUAAGCACCGGCUAACUCCGUGCCAGCAGCCGCGGUAAUUC
rnacentral:rRNA from 1 species